UACGGGGGGGGCAAGCGUUGUUCGGAAUUACUGGGCGUAAAGGGCGCGUAGGCGGCUCGUUAAGUCGGGUGUGAAAACUCUGGGCUCAACCCAGAGCCUGCAUUCGAAACUGACGAGCUAGAGUUCUGGAGGGGAAAGCGGAAUUCCGUGGUGUAGCGGUGAAAUGCGUAGAUAAUCAGGAGGAACACCGGUGGCGAAGGCGGCUU
rnacentral:rRNA from 1 species